UGCGGAAUGGUGUAAUUGGCAACACACUGGUUUCUGGUACCAGCAUUCUAGGUUCGAGUCCUAGUUCCGCAG
rnacentral:tRNA from 1 species